GGCUCAGAACGAACGCUGGCGGCGCGUUUAAGCAUGCAAGUCGAGCGGCAAGGGCCUUCGGGCCCCUAGAGCGGCGGACGGGUGAGUAACACGUGGACAAUCUGCCCCCCGGCCCGGGAUAGCCCAGGGAAACCUGGAUUAAUACCGGAUGAGACGGGACCCGCGAUGGCGGGACCCGGGAAAGGCGCUGCGGCGCCGCCGGGGGAUGAGUCUGCGUCCCAUUAGCUAGACGGCGGGGUAACGGCCCACCGUGGCGACGAUGGGUAGCCGGCCUGAGAGGGUGGACGGCCACAUUGGAACUGAGACACGGUCCAGACUCCUACGGGAGGCAGCAGCUAAGAAUCUUCCGCGAUGGGCGAAAGCCUGACGGAAGCGACGCCGCGUGAACGAAGAAGGCCGUGAGGUUGUAAAGUUCUUUUCGGGAGGGGAACAACCGUGGCAGGGAAUGGCCGCGGGAUGACGUGAAUCCCGGAAUAAGCCCCGGCUAACUACGUGCCAGCCGCGGC
rnacentral:rRNA from 1 species